rnacentral:rRNA from 1 species
UACGUAGGGGCCAAGCGUUGUUCGGAUUUACUGGGCGUAAAGGGCGCGUAGGCGGCGCGGUAAGUCACUUGUGAAAUCUCUGAGCUUAACUCAGAACGGCCAAGUGAUACUGCAGUGCUAGAGUGCAGAAAGGGCAAUCGGAAUUCUUGGUGUAGCGGUGAAAUGCGUAGAUAUCAAGAGGAACACCUGAGGCGAAGGCGGGUUGCUAGGCUGACACUGACGCUGAGUGCGCGAAAGCCAGGGGAGCAAACGGG